AGAGUUCUCGGGUGACACACCCCAGAAUUGGGCUCCCUCCUCCCUGGUUCUGGGUGUGUCAUCUGAGAAAUGCA
rfam:Myotis lucifugus cont2.42454, whole genome shotgun sequence.